rnacentral:misc_RNA from 1 species
UAGUACCAAGCAUAUAUCCAAAAUAUGCUCCGACAUGUAAUAAUGACACCUGCUUCUCUAUGUUCAUAUAAGCCUUUUUUAUAAUAGUCCCCAUGACAUAGCCUGUGGGAGUCGGUUGCCUUGAUGCCAGGUGUAGGUCAUGAAUGUUUCUGACUAACAAGAACAGAAGAUUUGUUUCUAGGGUGGCUUUUCAGCCCAGUCAUAUAUACUAUUUAGAUUUACAAAAUAAACAGCUAGGACUUAUCUGUUUAGUCUUUCUUGCCAGUGGCUAACUUCAGCUUACCAAUUUUUGCCUUGUAUAGGAGCCAGGUAAUGAUGUAUGUGCUCUAAUAUGUUGUAUAAAAGUGGGCGGAAGAAGUUUAUCAGUGGGGCCACGUGCUGAGUGAUCGUCACUCUUCGGUCCCUGGCAAGGUCUGAGACUGGGGCCUCCCGCAGCCCUAACCGGGCUCUCCCCGAGCGAGGAGAUGAGUUCCCAGAGAGCAGGGCUCUACGAGUGGGCAGACUGGGCAGGAGAAGCCCUGAGUCUGGGCAAGAUGCCUCCCUCGCCAGAGCUUGGAACAGACUCACAGCCAGCAGAGCGAGUUUUAACCAUUUAUUUUUUUUAACAUGAACCACAGAACAAUAAUCAUUCAAACAACAAAACAAAAACAAACACGAAUUAACAGAUUUAUGGACAAUUUGUUUUGGUGCACCAAAACCAGACAAUAGACAGACAGGAAAUAGAAUUUGGUGUCUCAAAGGGACACAGAUAUCCUAUCCAGAGCUAAGAAUAUCUCCAUGGGAGCCAGAGAGGAAGUAGGACGUCUCCCAUUUUCCUUUCUGUCAGGAGAGCUC